rnacentral:snRNA from 1 species
AUUGGGCCAAAAAUUUCGAGGCC